GACGAACGCUGGCGGCGUGCCUAAUACAUGCAAGUCGAACGCUUCUUUCCUCCCGAGUGCUUGCACUCGAUUGGAAAGAGGAGUGGCGGACGGGUGAGUAACACGUGGGUAACCUACCCAUCAGAGGGGGAUAACACUUGGAAACAGGUGCUAAUACCGCAUAACAGUUGAUGCCGCAUGGCCUAAGCGUGAAAGGCCCUUUCGGGUGUCGCCGAUGUAUGGACCCGCGGUUCAUUAGCUAGUUGGUGAGGUAACGGCUCACCAAGGCCACGAUGCAUAGCCGACCUGAGAGGGUGAUCGGCCACACUGGGACUGAGACACGGCACAGACUCCUACGGGAGGCAGCAGUAGGGAAUCUUCGGCAAUGGACGAAAGUCUGACCGAGCAACGCCGCGUGAGUGAAGAAGGUUUUCGGAUCGUAAAACUCUGUUGUUAGAGAAGAACAAGGACGUUAGUAACUGGACGUCCCCUGACGGUAUCUAACCAGAAAGCCACGGCUAACUACGUGCCAGCCGCCGCAGUAA
rnacentral:rRNA from 1 species